UGGGGAAUAUUGGACAAUGGGCGAAAGCCUGAUGACGCAACGCCGCGUGGGGGAUGAAGGUCUUCGGAUCGUAAACCCCUGUCGAAUGGGACGAAAGACUCGCGAGUGAAUACUUCGCGAGAGUGACGGUACCGUUAAAGGAAGCCACGGCUAACUCUGUGCCAGCAGCCGCGGUAAUACAGAGGUGGCAAGCGUUGUUCGGAAUUACUGGGCGUAAAGGGCGCGUAGGCGGCCCUCUAAGUCAGACGUGAAAUCCCCCGGCUUAACCUGGGAACUGCGUCUGAUACUGGAGGGCUUGAGUAUGGGAGAGGGAUGUAGAAUUCCAGGUGUAGCGGUGAAAUGCGUAGAUAUCUGGAGGAAUACCGGUGGCGAAGGCGGCAUCCUGGACCAUUACUGACGCUGAGGCGCGAAAGCUAGGGGAGCAAACGGGAUUAGAUACCCAUGUAGUCCCUGAGCGGGCUGGCAAGGCGCAU
rnacentral:rRNA from 1 species